CUUCCGCAAUGGACGAAAGUCUGACGGAGCACGCCGCGUGAGUGAAGAAGGUUUUCGGAUCGUAAAACUCUGUUGUUAGGGAAGAACAAGUGCCGUUCGAAUAGGGCGGCACCUUGACGGUACCUAACCAGAAAGCCACGGCUAACUACGUGCCAGCAGCCGCGGUAAUACGUAGGUGGCAAGCGUUGUCCGGAAUUAUUGGGCGUAAAGCGCGCGCAGGUGGUUUCUUAAGUCUGAUGUGAAAGCCCACGGCUCAACCGUGGAAGGGUCAUUGGAAACUGGGGAACUUGAGUGCAGAAAAGGAAAGUGGAAUUCCCAAGUGUANCGGUGAAAUGCGUAAAUAUUUGGAGGAACACCAGUGGCGAAGGCGACUUUCUGGUCUGUACUGACACUGAGGCCCGAAAGCGUGGGGAGCAACAGGAUUAAUACCCUGGUAGUCCACGCCGUAAACNAUGAGUGCUAAGUGUUAAAGGNUUCCGCCCUUUAUGCUGCAGCUAACGCAUUAAGCCCUCCCCCUGGGGAUUCGGUCCCAAGACUGAACCUCAAAGAAUUGACGGGGGCCCCCC
rnacentral:rRNA from 3 species